ACUUUAUUUUAUUAUUAUUAUUAUUAUUAUUUAAAUCUGUGAUGAGUUACACUGAGUGACAGAAAAUUCUUGUUCUCUUUCUACUUUCUUUGGGAACCUGGUACAAUUGUCUCUGUCUCUUUGAUUUGUGUGUUUGAUUUGUGUGUUUUGGGUCCCUCUUCACAAUCUGAUGUCUUUCUGAAACUGAAGAUUAUGAGAUUAGGCACAAGUGUGCAUGUUAUCUUCUUUUCCUCUCCUUUGUGUGUCUUUCUUCCCUUGAUUUUCUUGAAAACUGAGAGUAAUUGAAUACAUCCCAUUUCUACCAUAUUUUUGCAGUGUUGGUUGGUCCAAAUUUAGAAAUUCACCAUAUUUGCUACUUUUCCAAAUUUUGCUAGGCCUUUAAGCUGCCCUAAGUUUAUCCUGAACUGAAGUACUAUGGGAUGAAAGGUUCUUCCCCCAUCCAAAGAGCUCUAGGAAAACACCAUCUUCCAGAUUCCUAGACUAAAAGGCAAUUGCUGUCUCCUUAAUAAAGAGUGCUCAGUCUCCUCUAGUAAACCUAAAGACAAAUGUGUUUUGGAAAUGUCAUAGCAAAUCAAAAGCUUGAUCAUAGGCUGCUAGGGAACCAUUAUGAUUGAACUGUAAGAUGGUUGUGCUGAAUUUAUUGCUUGUGAAUUAUGUAAAGUGUAAAGCCUGAGAACAUUAUCUCAGACAUAAACAGACUGUGUUCACAAAACAAAGUAUUUGCAAGUAAAGAGAUUUGCUACUUAAUUAAUCUAUUGUGAGAUGGAAAGCAAGGUCAGGAUUCUAAUUGUCCAGUUGAAAGAAUAAUCCAAAAACCAAACAAUGAACUCAGCAGUUUUACAUACUGUCUUGAUGGUAGUUUGAAAACCAGCAUAAAUAGUCUUUAAUAAUCUCUAAUAUAACUUCAUAGCAAACAAUAAACCAGAUGUCCUUUUCCUUACUCAUUGCAGCUUAUGGGUUAACAACAUUUAGUAAUGUUUGGCCUUGGAUGAUUGUUUGACUGUUAUUCAACUUCCAAAAAUUAGGCUUAUUAAUUUGUUUGAUUAGUUCACUUCUCUCACCUUCUAGUUGAUGAGUUCAAUGAAUUAAAAAAAUAAAACAAAGGCAAGGAAAAAAAAAAAAAAAAAAAAAAAAAAAAAAAAGAGCCAGAGCUUUUGAAAACUUAGGUAUGGAAAAGUGUACAAUUAUUAUUUAAAAAAAAAUCCUGCAGCUACCUUUUAGAAGAAUAUAUCACAAGCAUUAAACACAGGUUUCCAGUUGCCAAAACUUCUGCUUAGAUUAAAUUCUUUAUUUUCUGUUAUGUUCAGGCAGUUCAGGAAUGCAUAGGCAAUGAGUUCUCCAGAGAAUAAAUAAGAGGUUGAGGGAAUGAUGCAGCACCUUAGGCAGACUGAAGUGAUGUUAGCUUACAGGUAACUGCAACAAUGCAGAUGAAAGGCAACAGUCUCUGGGAUGGUCCCCACAAAUGAAAGUAAAAUUAUGGAAAAAUUAUAAGUAUCUAUAGUGAGAAGGAGCAAAAUGUAGAUAGGUCAGCACUAUGGUAUGAAAGUUGUCAUGUCCAAGAAUCAUGCCAAUCUGAAGGACAAGAAUGUCUUGGGAACCAACCAGAGCAAGGAUAGAUAAAUUAGUGUCUUUGUCCCUCAGCUGAUCAGCCAGCUGGCAGAAGCUCCCAGCCCCAGUUCCUGUCUGCCAGAUCUCCAUGGACCAAGUGGCACUGCUCCUCAGGAAGGAUCAGCCAAGCAAGACACUUAUGGCUGGGGGCAAGUCAAGAACUGGAGCACUGUGAUGCAUUAUGCACUCAAGAAAAACUGGCUUCAAGGACACUCUAAUCCUGCACAGAAAAACAAACAAACAAACAAAACAAAACAACAAGGUGCUUUAUUCAGUGAAUGAUAUAGAGCCUGUAGACUGCUUUGUCUCCAAAUACUGGUAGAGCAAUUGGGGAGUUAAACCCAGCUUCAUUCUCACACUCGUGGUAGUCACACACUUUAUUUAUAUUCCAAGUACAUUAUUUCCACACUUAAAGAAUGCUGAAUGUAAAACUAAUAUGAUGACAUUUUGCUAAUGUAGAUACGUCAGUCCUGGAGGUCUUUGAAGAAGAAAGAAUAUCAGAUAGAAUAUUUGGAUGGAGUGAACAUGCAAUAUGGAAACAGGUAAGUUGCUGUUGUUGUUUCAUUUCUAUAUAUGUAUAUAUUUGGGAGUGGUGACACACCUACAAAACCACAAUCCAAAUACCUACAGACCUGAGAACCAGUGGGUUUAAGGUAACACAGUUUUGCAGAGGAAGCUACUAGCUUUCCCAAUGAUGAAAGCUAGCAAUCUCCAUUAUUGCUGUGUAGGCUGAAUGAAACUUAAGCAAGCUUUAUCCAUGCUAGGUGUCAGCCUCAGGCUGAAAACCUCUAGAACUUGUCAGCAAGACUUGUUCAACCAUUUCAAUUAGAGAAAAAAAAUAACUGUCCCAAGUUAAGGAAAAACAACAACAACAACAACAACAACUUUAUUUUCACUGGAAAGGUUUGAACUCCCACACUCAGCAGCAGGAUCUUGAACGCUGACACAGGGGUAAUACAAACUGAAUUUAACAUCUCAGUAAAAAAAAAAAAAGUAAAUUCAAAAUUGGUCAGAUGCUUCUUAGACACCUUUGUCUGAACAUUUAUUUUAGUGAUUGGCAGUUAAAAUCAGCUGUAAGAAGGGCACAUAGGUACAACCUAAUUUCCAUCAUAAUCUUUACAUAAAUUAAAUUGAAACUAUUAUAUACUUCAGUCAUACAUCUUCAUCUCUCCUAACACAGCUGUGAAACUGUGUAGCAAAGGAUGCAGAGGAAAGCAUCUACAUUUUCUGCUGAAUCCAUGAUGAAAAAGAGAAAGUGUGCUCUGUAUGCUUUACCUGGUCAGAGAAGCGCAUGGAGACCUAUAAUGUUAUGUGCAAGUUUGCCCAGUCUUCAAACCCAAGCAGCUGUGUUUCCUUGCCUGGACAUGGAGAAAUCUUCCUUGGGCCGUAUGCCCAAAGCUUCCACUUUUCAAGCUCCUUUUCAAGCUGUAUACCCAAAGCUUCCACUUUCAAGCUCCUUCCACCCCUUCAGCUACAAAUUUCACUUCUAAUGCAACUAUGGGAGAGAUUAAACAAAAUGCAUCCCUCUGCUUCAAUUAAUAAUGCGCCUCCUGCAGCCUUCUUGACCUGACUGGCUGAACCUGCUAUCCCUUCCUCACCGCAGUCUGACACGAAGAAAUAUGAAGAAGCCCUUACUCACCUCAGGGAAUAAAAAGCUCAGAAGAACAGGAAGGUGAGUAUGAAAGGGAGAAACCAUGAAACAAAAAAAAAUAAAAAUGAAAGGGUUAAAUUGAGGUGAGGUUUAAGGGAACAUGUAAGGGAAAGGAAAUAUAAAUAGAAAACAACAACAACAACAAAAAAGACGAAGUAGGAAGAUAUUGAAGAAUGACUGUUGGUAUGAUGAAAAUAGAAGGUUGAUAAGGCAAAAUGAUGUUGUAGAGGAAGUAGAGGAUAGACUAACAUGGGAAAGAUUAGAAGAGGCUGUCUUGAAGGAACAGAGAUACAAAAAAA